UGCAAGUCGAACGGCAGCACGGGGGCAACCCUGGUGGCGAGUGGCGAACGGGUGAGUAAUACAUCGGAACGUGUCCUGUAGUGGGGGAUAGCCCGGCGAAAGCCGGAUUAAUACCGCAUACGCUCUACGGAGGAAAGGGGGGGAUCUUAGGACCUCCCGCUACAGGGGCGGCCGAUGGCAGAUUAGCUAGUUGGUGGGGUAAAGGCCUACCAAGGCGACGAUCUGUAGCUGGUCUGAGAGGACGACCAGCCACACUGGGACUGAGACACGGCCCAGACUCCUACGGGAGGCAGCAGUGGGGAAUUUUGGACAAUGGGCGAAAGCCUGAUCCAGCAAUGCCGCGUGUGUGAAGAAGGCCUUCGGGUUGUAAAGCACUUUUGUCCGGAAAGAAAACCUUUGGGUUAAUACCCUGGGGGGAUGACGGUACCGGAAGAAUAAGCACCGGCUAACUACGUGCCAGCAGCCGCGGUAAUACGUAGGGUGCAAGCGUUAAUCGGAAUUACUGGGCGUAAAGCGUGCGCAGGCGGUCCGCUAAGACAGAUGUGAAAUCCCCGGGCUUAACCUGGGAACUGCAUUUGUGACUGGCGGGCUAGAGUAUGGCAGAGGGGGGUAGAAUUCCACGUGU
rnacentral:rRNA from 1 species